rnacentral:rRNA from 1 species
UGGGGAAUAUUGCACAAUGGACGCAAGCCUGAUGCAGCAACGCCGCGUGAGGGACGACGGCCUUCGGGUUGUAAACCUCUUUUAGUAGGGAAGAAGCGAAAGUGACGGUACCUGCAGAAAAAGCACCGGCUAACUACGUGCCAGCAGCCGCGGUAAUACGUAGGGUGCGAGCGUUGUCCGGAAUUAUUGGGCGUAAAGAGCUCGUAGGCGGUCUGUCGCGUCUGCUGUGAAAACCCGAGGCUCAACCUCGGGCCUGCAGUGGGUACGGGCAGACUAGAGUGCGGUAGGGGAGAAUGGAAUUCCUGGUGUAGCGGUGGAAUGCGCAGAUAUCAGGAGGAACACCGAUGGCGAAGGCAGUUCUCUGGGCCGUAACUGACGCUGAGGAGCGAAAGCGUGGGGAGCGAACAGGAUUAGAUACCCUGGUAGUCCACGCCGUAAACGUUGGGCGCUAGAUGUGGGGACCAUUCCACGGUUUCCGUGUCGCAGCUAACGCA